UACAGAGACCCCGAGCAUUAUCCGGAUUUAUUGGGCGUAAAGAGCUCGUAGGCGGUUUGUUGCGUCGGCUGUGAAAUCCCGAGGCUCAACCUCGGGUCUGCAGUCGAUACGAGCAAACUAGAGUGUUGCAGGGGAGACUGGAAUUCCUGGUGUAGCGGUGAAAUGCGCAGAUAUCAGGAAGAACACCCGUGGCGAAGGCGGCUCUCUGGGACGGUACUGACGCUGAGACGCGAAAGCGUGGGGAGCGAACAGG
rnacentral:rRNA from 1 species